AUGUCCCUCCUCCGCGUCCGGCUCGCCGCCGCCGCGGUGAUCGCCGUCGCCGCGCUCGUGGCCGGCGGGGACGCCUACCAGCUCACCAAACCAGGCACCGUCAUCUCGUACGACCGCCGCUCGCUCAUGGUGGACGGACAGAGGGACCUCUUCUUCUCCGGCUCCAUCCACUAUCCACGCAGCCCUUUCCACGAGUGGCCCGACCUCAUCGCCAGGGCCAAGGAAGGCGGCCUCAACGUCAUCGAGUCCUACGUCUUCUGGAACGUCCAUGAACCCGAGAUGGGCGUGUACAACUUCGAGGGGAGGUACGACAUGAUCAAGUUCUUCAAGCUGAUCCAGGAGCAUGAGAUGUACGCCAUGGUCCGUAUCGGGCCCUUCGUCCAGGCGGAGUGGAACCAUGGAGGGCUGCCUUACUGGCUCCGGGAGGUCCCCGACAUCAUCUUCCGCACAGACAACGAGCCUUUCAAGAAGCUCAUGCAGAAGUUUGUGACUCUCGUAGUGAACAAGCUCAAGGAAGCCAAGCUCUUCGCAUCACAAGGAGGCCCUAUCAUUCUAGCACAGAUCGAGAAUGAGUACCAGCACAUGGAAGCGGCGUUCAAAGAAAACGGCACCAGGUACAUCGAAUGGGCAGCUAAGAUGGCCAUCAGCACCGGCACCGGGGUGCCAUGGAUCAUGUGCAAGCAGACUAAAGCUCCAGCGGACGUGAUUCCUACCUGCAACGGUAGGCACUGCGGAGAUACAUGGCCAGGUCCAGUUGACAAGAACAAACCCCUGUUAUGGACCGAGAACUGGACUGCUCAAUAUAGAGUAUUCGGUGAUCCGCCGUCUCAGAGAUCUGCCGAGGACAUUGCGUUUGCCGUGGCGCGGUUCUUCUCGGUGGGGGGCAGCAUGGUGAACUACUACAUGUACCACGGAGGAACAAACUUUGGAAGAACGGGCGCCUCUUUCGUGAUGCCGAGAUACUACGACGAGGCGCCUCUCGACGAAUUCGGAAUGUUCAAAGAGCCCAAGUGGGGCCAUCUGAAGGACCUGCACCAUGCUUUGAGGUUGUGCAAGAAUGCUCUCCUCUUUGGGACCCCCUCCACGCAGCCAUUGGGCAAGCUCUACGAGGCGCGGGUGUUCGAGAUCCCGGAGCAGAAGGUGUGCGUGGCGUUCCUGUCCAACCACAACACCAAGGAGGACGGGACGGUGACGUUCCGCGGGCAGAACUACUUCGUGCCCCGGCGGUCUGUCAGCAUCCUGGGCGACUGCAAGACGGUGGUGUUCAGCACGCAAUACGUGAACGCGCAGCACAACCAGCGCACCUUCCACUUCACGGACCAGACGGUGCAGAACAAUGUGUGGGAGAUGUACACGGAGGGGGACAAGGUGCCCACCUACAAGUUCAGCACCGACCGGAGCGAGAAGCCCCUCGAGGCCUACAACAUGACCAAGGACAAGACCGACUACCUCUGGUACACCACCAGCUUCCUGCUGGACCCGGAGGACCUGCCGUCCAGGCUAGACAUCAAGCCGGUGCUGGAGGCGAGCAGCCAUGGGCACGCCAUGGUGGCGUUCGUCAACAAGAAGUUAGUCGGCUGCGGCCAUGGCACAAAGAUGAACAAGGCCUUCAGCCUGGAGAAGCCCAUCGAGGUCAAGGUCGGCAUCAACCACAUCUCCAUCCUGUCCAGCACGCUGGGGUUGCAGGACAGCGGGUCCUACCUGGAGCGCCGGCAGGCCGGCGUGCACUCGGUCACCAUCCAGGGCCUCAACACGGGGACGCUGGACCUCACCAGCAACGGGUGGGGACACAUCGUGGGCCUGGAGGGCGAGCGCAAGCAGGCUUUCACGGACAAGGGCGGCGAGGUGCAGUGGCAACCCGCGGUGUUCGACAAGCCGCUCACGUGGUACCGGCGGCGCUUCGACAUGCCCACCGGGGAGGACCCCGUGGUGAUCGACAUGAACCCCAUGGGCAAGGGCAUCCUGUUCGUCAACGGCGAAGGGCUGGGGCGGUACUGGAGCUCGUACAAGCACGCGCUGGGGCGGCCGUCGCAGUACCUCUACCACGUGCCGCGCUGCUUCCUGAAGCCUACGGGGAACGUGCUGACCAUCUUCGAGGAGGAAGGCGGGCGGCCGGACGCCAUCAUGAUCCUGACGGUGAAGCGCGACAACAUCUGCAGCUUCAUCUCGGAGACCAACCCCGGGCACGUGCGGUCGUGGGAGACCAAGGACAGCCAGCUGACGAUGGUGGCGGACGACCUGAAGCCGCGGGCGGUGCUGACGUGCCCGGAGAAGAAGAUGAUCCAGCAGGUGGUGUUCGCCAGCUACGGGAACCCGCUGGGGAUCUGCGGCAACUACACGUUUGGCAACUGCCACACGCCCAAGGCCAAGGAGAUUGUGGAGAAGGCGUGCGUGGGGAAGAGGAGCUGCGUGCUGGCCGUGUCGCACGAGGUGUACGGCGGGGACCUCAACUGCCCGGGCACCACGGCCACGCUGGCCGUGCAGGCAAAGUGUUCCAAGAGGCAGAGGACCGCCGAGCAAUAA
rnacentral:rRNA from 1 species